UCAGAAGUAUGUAGGUAUAUUGGAGUGCAGACAACUGGAGUUUAGAUGUAGACUUCAGUGACAUAUGUCACCAAAACCUAAAACAAGAUGUUUCAGGCCUAUAGUUUGCUUAUAGCAAGGUAAUUUCUGCUAACACAUACACAGAACUGUGGAACUCUGUGGAUCUCAAACUUAAAAAUUCCAUAAUAGCAAACUGAUAAAUGUUGAUAGAAACAGAUUUUGACCAAUAUGGCCACUUUAAACUGUAUUUCAUAAUUAUUGGGCAUCACUGUUAGAAAAAGAAGCUAGCUACAGGCUAAUGUUAAUGCUAUUGUUUAAAGUUGAAAUAAAACAUGUUCAUAGGCUGGUCUCAGGAUUACAUUACAUUUUCUUACAAAUUCCCUUUCAUAUUCAGUCUAAAUUAUCACUCUGUUACUCUUUAGUCUGGUUUGCUUAUCUUCUCUCUCCUUCUUCUACUUGCUUUUUCCUUCAAAAUGAGCAGA